GGCCUGUUGAGUAUAAUUUUAGGUCUGACCUGCCCGAUGAGUAGUUAAAUGGCUGCGGUAUACUGACCGUGCAAAGGUAGCAUAAUCAUUAGUUUUUUAAUUGAAAGCUUGUAUGAAAGGUUUGAUGAGAAAGUUACUGUCUCUGAAAAGAUUAGUUAGAAUUUUAUUUUUAAGUUAAAAAGCUUAAAUGUGUAUAGAAGACGAGAAGACCCUAUAGAGUUUUAUAUUUUUGCAAAGAUUUUUUAGGUUUUUGGAUAAAAAAAUUUAAUAUUUUUGAGAUAGUAUUUUGUUGGGGUGACAGGAAAAUUAAGUAAACUUUUCUUGGUUUGAUACAUUAAUGAGUGAAUAUAUGAUCCUAGAAUUUAGAUUAUAAGAUAAAAUUACCUUAGGGAUAACAGCGUGAUUUUUUAGAGAGUUCUUAUCGAAAAAAAAGUUUGCGACCUCGAUGUUGGAUUAAAAUAAGUUAUUGGUGAAGAAGCUAAUAAAUUAGGUCUGUUCGACCUUUAAAAUUUUACAUGAUCUGAGUUUAAACCGGUGUGAG
rnacentral:rRNA from 1 species